GAGUUUGAUCAUGGCUCAGGAUGAACGCUGGUGGUGUGCUUAACACAUGCAAGUCGAACGGAGUUUAUACGGAAGGAGUCUUCGGACAACGGAAGUAUAAACUUAGUGGCGGACGGGUGAGUAACGCGCGGGUAACCUGCCUUAUACAAGGGGAUAACAGAGGGAAACUUCUGCUAAUACCGUAUAAAAAUAUUUCACGCAUGUGAGAUAUUUGAAAGAUUUAUCAGUAUAAGAUGGACCCGCGUCUGAUUAGGUAGUUGGUGAGGUAGAGGCUCACCAAGCCGACGAUCGGUAGCCGAUCUGAGAGGAUGACCGGCCACAUUGGGACUGAGACACGGCCCAAACUCCUACGGGAGGCAGCAGUGGGGAAUAUUGGACAAUGGGGGCAACCCUGAUCCAGCGACGCCGCGUGAGUGAAGAAGUAUUUCGGUAUGUAAAGCUCUAUCGAUAACGGAAGAAGAUGACAAGCCGUUAAGGAAGAAGCCCCGGCUAACUACGUGCCAGCAGCCGCGGUAAUACGUAGGGGGCAAGCGUUAUCCGGAUUUACUGGGUGUAAAGGGAGCGUAGACGGCAUAUAAAGUCUGAAGUGAAAUCCCGCAGCUCAACUGCGGAGUUGCUUUGGAAACUUAUAAGCUGGAGUGUCGGAGGGGUAAGCGGAAUUCCCAGUGUAGCGGUGAAAUGCGUAGAUAUUGGGAGGAACACCGGAGGCGAAGGCGGCUUACUGGACGAUUACUGACGUUGAGGCUCGAAGGCGUGGGUAGCAGACAGGAUUUAGAUACCCUGGUAGUCCACGCAGUAAACGAUGAAUACUAGGUGUCGGGAGA
rnacentral:rRNA from 1 species